CCUACGGGAGGCUGCAGUAGGGAAUCUUCCACAAUGGAGGAAACCCUGAUGCAGCAACGCCGCGUGGGUGAUGAAGGUUUUCGGAUUGUAAAGUCCUUUUGUUAGAGAAGAUAGUGACGGUAUCUAACUAAUCAUCACCGGCUAACGCCGUGCCAGCAGCCGCGGUAAUACGAAGGGUGCACGCGUUACUCGGAAUCACUGGGCGUAAAGAGCGCGGAGGCGGGUGAGCAAGUCUGAUGUGAAAUCCUAUGGCUUAACCAGAGAAUUGCAUUUGAAACUGUUAUUCGAGAGUAUGGGAGAGGAAGGUGGAACUCUAGGUGUAGGGGUAGAAUCCGUAGAGAUCAAGAGGAAUACGCAUUGCGAAGGCGACCCGCUAGAACACAACUGACGCUGAUGCGCGAAAGCGUGGGGAGCAAACAGGAUUAGAUACCCUAGUAGUC
rnacentral:rRNA from 1 species